AGCGUACACGGUGGAUGCCCUGGCAGUCAGAGGCGAUGAAGGACGUGCUAAUCUGCGAUAAGCGUCGGUAAGGUGAUAUGAACCGUUAUAACCGGCGAUUUCCGAAUGGGGAAACCCAGUGUGAUUCGUCACACUAUCAUUAACUGAAUCCAUAGGUUAAUGAGGCGAACCGGGGGAACUGAAACAUCUAAGUACCCCGAGGAAAAGAAAUCAACCGAGAUUCCCCCAGUAGCGGCGAGCGAACGGGGAGGAGCCCAGAGCCUGAAUCAGUGUGUGUGUUAGUGGAAGCGUCUGGAAAGGCGCGCGAUACAGGGUGACAGCCCCGUACACAAAAAUGCACAUGCUGUGAGCUCGAUGAGUAGGGCGGGACACGUGGUAUCCUGUCUGAAUAUGGGGGGACCAUCCUCCAAGGCUAAAUACUCCUGACUGACCGAUAGUGAACCAGUACCGUGAGGGAAAGGCGAAAAGAACCCCGGCGAGGGGAGUGAAAAAGAACCUGAAACCGUGUACGUACAAGCAGUGGGAGCCUCUUUUAUGGGGUGACUGCGUACCUUUUGUAUAAUGGGUCAGCGACUUAUAUUCUGUAGCAAGGUUAACCGAAUAGGGGAGCCGAAGGGAAACCGAGUCUUAACCGGGCGUUAAGUUGCAGGGUAUAGACCCGAAACCCGGUGAUCUAGCCAUGGGCAGGUUGAAGGUUGGGUAACACUAACUGGAGGACCGAACCGACUAAUGUUGAAAAAUUAGCGGAUGACUUGUGGCUGGGGGUGAAAGGCCAAUCAAACCGGGAGAUAGCUGGUUCUCCCCGAAAGCUAUUUAGGUAGCGCCUCGUGAAUUCAUCUCCGGGGGUAGAGCACUGUUUCGGCAAGGGGGUCAUCCCGACUUACCAACCCGAUGCAAACUGCGAAUACCGGAGAAUGUUAUCACGGGAGACACACGGCGGGUGCUAACGUCCGUCGUGAAGAGGGAAACAACCCAGACCGCCAGCUAAGGUCCCAAAGUCAUGGUUAAGUGGGAAACGAUGUGGGAAGGCCCAGACAGCCAGGAUGUUGGCUUAGAAGCAGCCAUCAUUUAAAGAAAGCGUAAUAGCUCACUGGUCGAGUCGGCCUGCGCGGAAGAUGUAACGGGGCUAAACCAUGCACCGAAGCUGCGGCAGCGACACUGUGUGUUGUUGGGUAGGGGAGCGUUCUGUAAGCCUGUGAAGGUGUGCUGUGAGGCAUGCUGGAGGUAUCAGAAGUGCGAAUGCUGACAUAAGUAACGAUAAAGCGGGUGAAAAGCCCGCUCGCCGGAAGACCAAGGGUUCCUGUCCAACGUUAAUCGGGGCAGGGUGAGUCGACCCCUAAGGCGAGGCCGAAAGGCGUAGUCGAUGGGAAACAGGUUAAUAUUCCUGUACUUGGUGUUACUGCGAAGGGGGGACGGAGAAGGCUAUGUUGGCCGGGCGACGGUUGUCCCGGUUUAAGCGUGUAGGCUGGUUUUCCAGGCAAAUCCGGAAAAUCAAGGCUGAGGCGUGAUGACGAGGCACUACGGUGCUGAAGCAACAAAUGCCCUGCUUCCAGGAAAAGCCUCUAAGCAUCAGGUAACAUCAAAUCGUACCCCAAACCGACACAGGUGGUCAGGUAGAGAAUACCAAGGCGCUUGAGAGAACUCGGGUGAAGGAACUAGGCAAAAUGGUGCCGUAACUUCGGGAGAAGGCACGCUGAUAUGUAGGUGAAGUCCCUCGCGGAUGGAGCUGAAAUCAGUCGAAGAUACCAGCUGGCUGCAACUGUUUAUUAAAAACACAGCACUGUGCAAACACGAAAGUGGACGUAUACGGUGUGACGCCUGCCCGGUGCCGGAAGGUUAAUUGAUGGGGUCAGCGCAAGCGAAGCUCUUGAUCGAAGCCCCGGUAAACGGCGGCCGUAACUAUAACGGUCCUAAGGUAGCGAAAUUCCUUGUCGGGUAAGUUCCGACCUGCACGAAUGGCGUAAUGAUGGCCAGGCUGUCUCCACCCGAGACUCAGUGAAAUUGAACUCGCUGUGAAGAUGCAGUGUACCCGCGGCAAGACGGAAAGACCCCGUGAACCUUUACUAUAGCUUGACACUGAACAUUGAGCCUUGAUGUGUAGGAUAGGUGGGAGGCUUUGAAGUGUGGACGCCAGUCUGCAUGGAGCCGACCUUGAAAUACCACCCUUUAAUGUUUGAUGUUCUAACGUGGACCCGUGAUCCGGGUUGCGGACAGUGUCUGGUGGGUAGUUUGACUGGGGCGGUCUCCUCCUAAAGAGUAACGGAGGAGCACGAAGGUUGGCUAAUCCUGGUCGGACAUCAGGAGGUUAGUGCAAUGGCAUAAGCCAGCUUGACUGCGAGCGUGACGGCGCGAGCAGGUGCGAAAGCAGGUCAUAGUGAUCCGGUGGUUCUGAAUGGAAGGGCCAUCGCUCAACGGAUAAAAGGUACUCCGGGGAUAACAGGCUGAUACCGCCCAAGAGUUCAUAUCGACGGCGGUGUUUGGCACCUCGAUGUCGGCUCAUCACAUCCUGGGGCUGAAGUAGGUCCCAAGGGUAUGGCUGUUCGCCAUUUAAAGUGGUACGCGAGCUGGGUUUAGAACGUCGUGAGACAGUUCGGUCCCUAUCUGCCGUGGGCGCUGGAGAACUGAGGGGGGCUGCUCCUAGUACGAGAGGACCGGAGUGGACGCAUCACUGGUGUUCGGGUUGUCAUGCCAAUGGCACUGCCCGGUAGCUAAAUGCGGAAGAGAUAAGUGCUGAAAGCAUCUAAGCACGAAACUUGCCCCGAGAUGAGUUCU
rnacentral:rRNA from 2 species